rnacentral:rRNA from 1 species
UACGUAGGGUGCAAGCGUUAAUCGGAAUUACUGGGCGUAAAGCGUGCGCAGGCGGUUUUGUAAGUUUGUCGUGAAAUCCCCGGGCUCAACCUGGGAAUUGCGUUGGAGACUGCAAGGCUAGAAUCUGGCAGAGGGGGGUAGAAUUCCACGUGUAGCAGUGGAAUGCGUAGAGAUGUGGAGGAACACCGAUGGCGAAGGCAGCCCCCUGGGUCAAGAUUGACGCUCAUGCACGAAAGCGUGGGGAGCAAACAGG